rnacentral:rRNA from 1 species
CACAUGACUCUCGGCAACGGAUAUCUCGGCUCUCGCAUCGAUGAAGAACGUAGCAAAAUGCGAUACCUGGUGUGAAUUGCAGAAUCCCGUGAACCAUCGAGUUUUUGAACGCAAGUUGCGCCUGAGGCCUUCAGGCCGAGGGCACGUCUGCCUGGGCGUCACGC